UACGAAGGGGGCUAGCGUUGUUCGGAAUUACUGGGCGUAAAGCGCGCGCAGGCGGUUUUGUAAGUUAGGGGUGAAAUCCCCGGGCUCAACCCGGGAAUGGCCUUUAAGACUGCAAGGCUAGAGGACGAGAGAGGUGAGUGGAAUUCCCAGUGUAGAGGUGAAAUUCGUAGAUAUUGGGAAGAACACCGGUGGCGAAGGCGGCUCACUGGCUCGUUUCUGACGCUGAGGCGCGAAAGCGUGGGGAGCAAAC
rnacentral:rRNA from 1 species